GCUGGGUGCGGUGGCACGUGCCUGUAAUCCCAGCGACUCAGGAGGCUGAGGCAGGAGGAUCAUGAGCUCAAACCCAGCCUCAG
rnacentral:sRNA from 1 species